AGUGAACGCUGGCGGUAGGCCUAACACAUGCAAGUCGAACGGCAGCACAGUAAGAGCUUGCUCUUACGGGUGGCGAGUGGCGGACGGGUGAGGAAUACAUCGGAAUCUACUUUUUCGUGGGGGAUAACGUAGGGAAACUUACGCUAAUACAGCAUACGACCUACGAGUGAAAGCAGGGGAUCUUCGGACCUUGCGCGAUUGAAUGAGCCGAGGUGGGAUGAGCUAGUUGGCGGGGUAAAGGCCCACCAAGGCGACGAUCCGUAGCUGGUCUGCGAGGAGGAUGGGCCACACGGGAACUGGGACAGGGUCCAGAGUCCUACGGGAGGCAGCAGUGGGGAAUAUUGGACAAGGGGCGCAAGCUGGAUCCAGCCAGACCGCGUGGGUGAAGAAGGCCUUCGGGUUGUAAAGCCCGUUUGUUGGGAAAGAAAAGCAGCAGGGUAAUACCCCGCUGUUCUGACGGUACCCAAAGAAUAAGCACCGGCUAACUUCGUG
rnacentral:rRNA from 1 species